AAUCAACGCUGGCGGCGUGCCUAACACAUGCAAGUCGAACGCGAAAGUCCCGCAAGGGAUGAGUAGAGUGGCAAACGGGUGAGUAACACGUGGGUGACCUGCCUUCGAGCGGGGAUAACGUCCCGAAGGGACGCUAAUACCGCAUGACAUCCUGCCUUUGAAGAGGUGGAGAUCAAAGCUGGGGAUCGCAAGACCUAGCACUUGAAGAGGGGCCCGCGUCUGAUUAGCUAGUUGGUGGGGUAACGGCUCACCAAGGCAUCGAUCAGUAUCCGGCCUGAGAGGGCGGACGGACACACUGGGACUGAGACACGGCCCAGACUCCUACGGAGGCAGCAGUGGGAAUUGUUCGCAAUGGGCGCAAGCCUGACGACGCAACGCCGCGUGGAGGAUGAAGACCUUCGGUCGU
rnacentral:rRNA from 1 species